GGGGGUAGGGCCAUAGCUCAGUGGUAGAGCACCUGCCUUGAAUACAGAAGGUCACGGGUUUGAUCCCCAGUGUCUCCA